rnacentral:snRNA from 1 species
UAAGUGGCAGAGUGGCCUU